rnacentral:lncRNA from 1 species
UACUCAUUGAGGCUUUUGCUGGAGGCCAGUAGUUUGAGAAGGUUGAAUUUCAUUUUGUUGGUGUGAGGGAAUUUAUUUAAGCUGGUUCUUAGUCAAUUUUGUCUUGUUAACUGAUGUUUUAUCAUUUUUGCACAUGCAUCCAGAGGGGACCUACCUUGGAUCCAUUUUUAUGGUGUGGAAAAUAAAUAACAUAAAGAAUGCCUGAGGGAGUGUUCAUCCCUUUCACCUGUGGAAUCUUCUGUUAAAUAAAUAAAAUGGUGUGAGUUCUUCAGGAGUUGUUAAUUGUUCCAGAGGUCUGAUCCCUCCCUUAGGAGGGAUCUCACCUCAUUAGAUGUUUCAAGUAUUAGUUGGCUCCAAGGGUAAAUCCUUCUCUGUCUCACCAAGCUCCAAAAUAGUAGAUGGAUACCACUGAUCUGAGAAGCUUUUGAAAAAACAACCAGGCCAGAGGGAGUAAAAGUCUGAGGAACUUUUCCUGUCUGCAUUUACAUUUGUUUCUGGCUAGACAGCAAGAGAAAUGCUGGAAAAAGAAGUCCUCAAGCUGUAACCACUAUUUUCUUUCCAUGACUGACCCUUGUGUGCAUUUUCUUAAGAGCUCUGCAGGCUCCUGUCCUGCGGUGUGGGCAGGCACCCACAGCACUGCCCGCAGUAAUGGACCAGUGCUCCCAAGGCCUGGAACAGACCAACCCCCGCAGUCUGGAUUCGGUGAUCUGCUCUGGCUACCACUUGUGACAACACCCUGGAGAAGAUAUCUAGUGAGAGGGAGAGCUCAGCUCCUGGGGAAGAAAUUGCUGAUCCUUGAGAGGCAGCUAGAGCAGCAAAGAUUUUUUUGCUGAUAAACCACCGAUGGAGAAGCCCUCCCUUCCCCACUUCCCAUCUCAACCGCUGUCAUUUAAUUUGCAAAAGCUUGUCCCUGUCCCUAUCAGCAUUUAUUUAAGUACAUCUCUGCUGCGCCUGAGUGAUUUAUCUAAACAUCGGCAGCUACUGUAAGUGACGGAACAGCAAAGCAGUGGCAGAGGAAGGAGUGGAGAGGUUGAAAUGUAACUUCCCUCUUGUGAAAUCAAGCACAGGUGACUGUUCUGAGCAACUCCAGUGUAUUUACAUCAGUCACAGGCAGAAAGAAAAAAAGAAGGCAUUUCAGAGCCUGCUCAGACAUUUGAGACCAU